AUGACAAGAAAUAACUGUUUAAAAAACUUGGCACAGAAUCGCUUAGGAGCUGCUAAUUCCAUAUCUCUAAGAGUUACACCAUAUGGUUUAGGUUGCUCACCUUGGUGGCUGACUAGGCGUUCAAAAAUCUUAGUGAGAGUAUAAAGGACAUUGUUGAUGGUGCAAUAAUGGAACACAACAAGUUGUGUGUGUGUGUGUUGCACGACCUGGGAGUCUACAUCUAAGAGUUCCUUUCAGUUUUCUAUCAGAAACAUUUCUUUAUAAAAGUUCUGUUGGACACUUAACUUCUCUUUACUUAUCGUUUCGUGGGACUAUGAAAAAGUUCAUCUGUGUGUAACUACAGGGUUCUCGAAGUCCGCCCUCUCAUUGACAGGGUGAAAGUUGUGGAAUUUUUGCUUUAACUGCCUGGAGUAAGAUGACAGGACAUACAAAGAUGCAUUCAAGUUGAAGAUUCAGAGUUGCAAGGCAGGCACAGUUAACAGGGAUAAGAAACUAUAGAAGAUUUAUCAAACCAGAUAUGGGCUUGGUUAUGCACUGAAUCAUUGUGGAGGAUCUCAGGUAAUUAGGCCAUACACCCAAAAUUAAAUUUUACUUGCUUUUAAAUGUUUAGGGGGCAGAUGAUGUUUCAUAUGCUAGACUGAAGUACGCACCUUUUAAGAAUAUCACUGAUACUCCAGUCACCCAUAAAAAUGGAAGUACUGAAAAUUAGUUUGUAAGGAAAAUAACUAAAUAGUGAGUCUGAGCAAACCUACUACCUAGAUUACAUGAGAUCAUUUUAGCUCUAAGAGUUUCUUUUAUCUUUUUUUACAUUCUGGUAAA